UACGAAGGGGGCUAGCGUUGUUCGGAAUCACUGGGCGUAAAGCGCACGUAGGCGGAUCUUUAAGUCAGGGGUGAAAUCCCGAGGCUCAACCUCGGAACUGCCUUUGAUACUGGGGAUCUCGAGUCCGGGAGAGGUGAGUGGAAUUGUGAGUGUAGAGGUGAAAUUCGUAGAUAUUCGCAAGAACACCAGUGGCGAAGGCGGCUCACUGGCCCGGUACUGACGCUGAGGUGCGAAAGCGUGGGGAGCAAACAGG
rnacentral:rRNA from 1 species